CUGCCUGAAACAACGGACUGGAGCCCGACAAUAUGAGCUUUGGACACAGUCUCCUUUCCCAGCGACUUUGCAGGAAAUACUUGCCAAUACGCGGCGGCAAGCUUCGCCGACAGGCUGGAGAAGGCUUAGGCGUUGUGGGCUCCGCAGCCGAAAGAGUCAUUGUUGCCUGUUUGUGACAACCUUCCCCGGGCACUCCCGAGCCGACUGGGAGGAAACGAGGGAAGGAAAUGCCGGUGUCCUUAUGCGGAGCAAAGUUCAGAGCGGCUGAGUCAGGACCAACGGCUGUGGCUCAGACUCCACGGCAGUUUUAAUCCCGAGCCUGGGCCUGGGUCGGAAGGUCUGUAAUUGGAAUGGGGGCAGGUGUCCAGCCUGCACCCAACAGCUGGGAUUUAAUUUGGAUGACUCCCGACAUUGAAAUGUUAUUCUGACUAUUGUAGAGUCAAAAAAUAAAAAUAAAAAAACAGACAGGGCAGGAUCUCAAGAAAGGCUUCCUUCUGUUUUUAAGAAUU